rfam:Gossypium arboreum cultivar AKA8401 contig_35669_1, whole genome shotgun sequence.
GGGUGCGAUCAUACUAGCAUUAAUGCAUCGAAUCCUAUUAAUCUGUAGUUAAGCGUGCUUUGGUGAGUGUAGUACUAGGAUGGGUGACCUCCUUCUUGGGAAGUCAACAUUAUUUAAAUCU